AUUUAUAUAGUAUAAUACAGUAUAUAUGACUUCCAAUCAUAAGGUCUAGCUACGUUAGUAUAAAUA
rnacentral:tRNA from 1 species